rnacentral:snRNA from 1 species
GUGCUUGCUUUGGUAGCGCAUAUACUAAAAUUGGAACAAUACAAAGAAGAUUAGCAUGACCACUGCACAAGGAUGACAGGCAAAUGCGUGAAGCGUUCAUUU